UCCCUCUUAGCUCAGUGGUAGAGCGUGUCACUCGUACCGUAAAUCGGUCUUAUGACAAGGUCAGUCGUUCAAUCCGGCUAGCGGGAA
rnacentral:tRNA from 1 species